GCCGCGUGUAUGAUGAAGGCCUUCGGGUUGUAAAGUACUUUCAGCGGGGAGGAAGGUGCUGUGGUUAAUAACCGAAGCACUUGACGUUUCCCGGACAACAAGCACCGGCUAACUCCGUGCCAUCAGCCGCGGUAAUACGGAUGGUGCAAGCGUUAAUCGGAAUUACUGGGCGUAUAGCGCACGCAGGCCGUCUGUUAAGUCAGAUGUGAAAUCCCCGGGCUCAACCUGGGAACUGCAUCUGAUACUGGUGGCUUGAGUCUCGUAAAGGGGGGUAGAAUUCUGGUGUAGCGGUAAAAUGCGUAGAGAUCUGGAGGAAUACCGGUAGUGAAGGCGGCCCCCUGGACCAAGACUGACGCUCAGGUGCAAAUGCCUGGGGAGCACACAGGAUUAGAUACCCUGGUAGUCCACGCCGUAACAAUCUGUUACGUGGAGGUUGUGCCCUUGAGGCGUGGCUUCCGGAGCUAACGCGUUAAGUCGACCGCCUGGGGAGUACGGCCGCGGGGUUCCGACUCAGAUGAAUUGACGGGGGCCCGCACAAGCGGUGGAGCAUGUGCUUUAAUUCGAUGCAACGCGGACAACCUUACCUGGUCUUGACAUCCACUGAACUGUGGCAGAGAUAACUAGGUGCCUUCGGGAGCCUGUGCAGACAGGUGCUGCAUGCGUUUCUUCGCA
rnacentral:rRNA from 1 species